CCCUUAGAUGAUUUGGGCUGCACGCGCGCUAAACUGACCCUAACAAUGAGCAACUGUCUGGCCUGAGAUGGCUGGGUAGCCUUUUCAACCCAUGUCAUGAUUGGGCUAGAUUUUUGUAAGUCUUGAUCUCUAACGAGGAAUCCCUAGUAUGCGUGAAUCAUCAAUCCAUGCAGAUUAUGUCCCUGCCCUUUGUACACACCGCCCGUCGCUCCUACUGAUUGGGUGAUCCGGUGAGCUGUUCGGCCAUAGCAAUGUUUCUUGAGCAGGGCAAUGAAUGUUUCGCAAACCUUGCCACUUAGAGGAAGGAGAAGUCGUAACA
rnacentral:rRNA from 1 species